ensembl:snRNA U6 U6 spliceosomal RNA
GUGUAUACAUAUAAGCUUCAGCACAUAUACUAAAAUAGGAAUGAUACAGGAUUAGCAUGGCCCCUGUGCAAAGAUGACAUGCAAAUUCAGGAAGCGUUCCAUAUAUAU